rnacentral:rRNA from 1 species
GACGAACGCUGGCGGCGUGCCUAAUACAUGCAAGUCGAACGCUGAAGAGAGGAGCUUGCUCUUCUUGGAUGAGGUGCGAACGGGUGAGUAACGCGUAGGUAACCUGCCUCGUAGCGGGGGAUAACUAUUGGAAACGAUAGCUAAUACCGCAUAACAAUGGAUGACACAUGUCCUUUAUUUGAAAGGUGCAAUUGCUCCACUACAAGAUGGACCUGCGUUGUAUUAGCUAGUAGGUGAGGUAAUGGCUCACCAAUGCGACGAUACAUAGCCGACCUGAGAGGGUGCUCGGCCACACUGGGCCUGAGACACGGCCCAGACUCCUACGGGAGGCAGCAGUAGGGAAUCUCCGGCAAUGGGGGCAACCCUGACCGAGCAACGCCGCGUGAGUGAAGAAGGUGUUCGGAUCGUAAAGCUCUGUUAUAAGUCAAGAACGGGUGUGAGAGUGGAAAGUUCACACUGUGACGGUAGCUUACCAGAAAGGGACGGCUAACUACGUG